UCCCCAUGUGCAACCAUAAAAAGCCCCGCCCUUUGGCUCUAUAAAUAGACCGAAAGAGGAAAAAAAAAAAAAGGAAAAAAGGGGGGAGGACCGAAAGAAGAGGAAAUAGAGAGAAACAGUUUUCCACCGAAUAAAAAGGGAACCACUGAUAAACUCAAACGGAGAGGAAGAAACGAAUCAAAAAAAGAGAGAGGACCGAAAGAAGAGGAAAUAGAGAGAAACAGAGAACAGAACCGAAUAAAAAGGGAACCACUGAUAAACUCAAACGGAGAGGAAGGAAAAGCUUGAAACGGGGUAGGAAACUUGACAACAAACCGGGAGGAUAAAGGGAAACCACCGAAAACGAAAGAAGAGGAAGGCAUACGGAGGAGAAGGGAAGAGCAGUAACCUCACCCUCCACCGUUUGAAAUAGCAGCACCGCCGCUUGGAGCCGCCGUCCGUGAGCCACGACACCGCCACCGGCCUCCACCACAGCACCACCAGCGAAGCAUUCCAAUCAGCAAGCCAUCGCCUCCUCCGCGCCAGGUAAUUCUUCCUCCCCCCUUGUUCUGGUGUUUAUUUUUUUCCUUCUCUGCAU
rnacentral:lncRNA from 1 species